rnacentral:sRNA from 1 species
UCAAUCAGUAUCAUUGCUGUAGGCAGAU